GAUGAACGCUGGCGGCGUGCCUAAUACAUGCAAGUCGAACGGAGGGUCGCAAGGCUCUUAGUGGCGAACGGGUGAGUAACGCGUUGGUACCUGCCCCAAAGCGGGGGAUAACGGACCGAAAGGUCCGCUAAUACCCCAUGUGCUCCGUGAGGAGUAAAGGCGAAAGUCACUUUGGGAGGGGCCUGCGUCCCAUCAGCUAGUUGGUAGGGUAACGGCUUACCAAGGCGAUGACGGGUAGGGGACCUGAGAGGGUGGCCCCCCCACAAUGGAACUGAAACACGGUCCAUACACCUACGGGUGGCAGCAGUAGGGAAUAUUGGUAAUGGGCGAAAGCCUGAACCAGCAACGCCGCGUGUGCGAUGACGGCCUCGGUUGGUUAAAGCGACUUUUUUCCGGGUACGAGGAAGGACGGUACCGGAAGAA
rnacentral:rRNA from 1 species